rnacentral:rRNA from 1 species
UGGGGAAUAUUGCACAAUGGAGGGAACUCUGAUGCAGCGACGCCGCGUGAACGAAGAAGGCUUUCGAGUCGUAAAGUUCUUUUAUAUGGGAAGAUAAUGACGGUGCCAUAAGAAAAAGCCCCGGCUAACUACGUGCCAGCAGCCGCGGUAAUACGUAGGGGGCUAGCGUUGUCCGGAAUCACUGGGCGUAAAGGGUUCGCAGGCGGAAAUGCAAGUCAGGUGUAAAAGGCAGUAGCUUAACUACUGUAAGCAUUUGAAACUGCAUAUCUUGAGAAGAGUAGAGGUAAGUGGAAUUUUUAGUGUAGCGGUGAAAUGCGUAGAUAUUAAAAAGAAUACCGGUGGCGAAGGCGACUUACUGGGCUCAUUCUGACGCUGAGGAACGAAAGCGUGGGUAGCAAACAGG